AUGAACAUGUGUGAGAAAGAUCAAAAUUUCCACUGGGCGUACGACCUUUUCCAUGACCCUUUUGCCGCUCCCAACAGCUACUAUGGACAUCCUAAUGGUUACAGUGACAACAGCUAUUGUGACUACAAUUAUGCUAGAGGUAGUUUUGUGGAACGUCGUGCGAUUCUUUUGUGCAAAACUCAUGAAAAAAAGAAGGCAGUAUUCCUCAUGUGUAUGUUUUUUUGUUAUGCAGAUGCAUCACAUCCCGAUGAGACAUAUUUGCAUUCUUCUGCACUUACGUGCGAUAUGUACAACCCACAAGUAGGCAUGUACCAUCCUGGAAAUGUUGGCGGGCAGGAGCAUGACGCAGUCUAUGUAGAUCCGUCUAGUUCCUCUUCAUACCCUGGCAGUGACGAUUGUUUUGAAAUGGAGGAAGAAGUAGGGAAGAGAUUUUACCCCAUGGUCCCAGUUCCCCAUGUCCCUAAAAUUAAUGGUGAAAUUCCAUCACUUGACGAAGCCAGCAUGGACCAUGAAAGGCUGUCAGACAGGUUGAGGUUGUAUGAACUAACUGAGAACAAGGUGAAAGGUGAUGGCAAUUGUCAGUUCCGUGCACUAUCAGAUCAGCUGUACCAAACUCCGGACCACCAUGAGUUUGUGAGGGAGCAGAUAAUUAGCCAGCUUAAGAGUAACCGGGAAGCCUAUGAUGGAUACGUCCCCAUGGCAUAUGAUGAGUAUCUGGAGAAAGUAUCACGAAAUGGUGAAUGGGGUGACCAUGUGACUUUACAGGCUGCUGCUGACAAGUACGGAGUGAAGAUUUUCGUCAUGACCUCGUUCAAGGAUACGUGCUACAUCGAGAUCCAACCCAAGGUUCAGAAGUCCAACAAAGUGGUGCUGUUGAGCUUUUGGGCAGAGGUUCACUACAACUCGAUAUUUCCACAGAACGACGCUCCGAGGUUGCAGCACACGGCGAAGAAGAGGAGAUGGUGGCCGUUCUCGCAGCACCACCAUUGA
rnacentral:rRNA from 1 species